rnacentral:misc_RNA from 1 species
AAACAAUGUAAACAAUACGACAACGGGAAACCGAAAAUGAUUGAAUAUAUUGUUAUUUUCUUAAUUCUUACAACAGGAUGUGAAUCGAAUGUAUUUUCUGUUACUUUUGAUCCUAAGUCAAUAAUUUCGACUACUUCAAAACAGUUUGUCGGUGUGACGUUAGAUACUGGUCUUCUCAGAGUUCGGUGGGAUAAAUUGGAUUUUAGGAAUAACUUGGGAUGAAAUUCAUGAGUUUGUCCAGAAAGCCAAAUUGGAUUUGAUCUUUGACCUCAACGUGCUGAAGAGAACAAAAGAUCAGAAAUGGAACAGCACAAAUGCUAUAGAGCUACUGAAGUAUACCCAAGGGCGAGGUUACACAAUGGCAGGAUGGGAACUAGGAAAUGAGCCCAAUAGCUUCCAUCAUUUGAACUCAUCUCUAAAUGUCACCGCAGAAUCACUUGGAGGGGAUUUCUUUCAAUUAUCAAAAAUUUUGAACCAUUUUCCUGAAAUCAAAGGGUGCAUUUUGACCGGACCUAGCACAACACAGCUGAAUAAGAAACCAACUAUCAAAUAUUUCUCUGAUUUCAUGGCAACAGAAGGAGGUAGAGAAGUGACAUCUCCAAAUUUUCACCAAUACUAUGUUAAUGGAAGAAUUGCCACAGUGGAUGACUUUACAAACUCAGAAGUCUUAGACAGCCUACAGGAUGAGCUUAGGACUGGGAACAGGAUCAUUGAGGCUACUGGUAGGAAGCGUAAACUGUGGCUAGGAGAGACGAGCUCUGCCUAUGGAGGGGGAGCAGAUGGUCUGUCAGACGCCUAUGUGGCUGCGUUCAUGUGGCUAGACAAGUUAGGAAUAUCAGCCAAGAACAAUGUAGAUGUUGUACUGAGGCAGAGUUUUUAUGGAGGGAAAUACGCCCUGCUAGAUGCCACAACCGUAGAUCCAAAUCCUGACUACUGGCUUACUGUGUUGUACAAGCGACUGGUCGGAAACAAAGUCCUUAACGUCAUCUCCUCACCGCUCUCUGGAGACGUCAGGUUUUAUGCCCAUUGUUCAGCAGAGGGGUUUCCCCAAGGAUCAGUGACAGUUUACGGAAUGAAUUUAUUGUCCAAAGGGGUCAAUGUGACAUUUCCCCAGUUUGAAGGUCAACUGAAAAUUUAUCUCUUAUCUGCUCCAAACCAAAACCUGAAAUCUAGAUUUGUAAACUUGAAUGGGAUUACCCUGGAGAUGACCUCUGACACAAGCCUACCAGAGCUGACCCCAAGGUCAGGGCCAAAUCUGCUGUUUCUGCCACCAUUUUCCUAUGUUUUUAUCGUAGCUGAUAACAAAAUCUACAGUAAAAGUUGUCUAGACACCUGAAAUGAGUGAUAUCUAGUAGUUAUGUAAGAUUUAUAACAAUACAUGUAAAUAGAGGAAAGACUGUCUAGAGACUUUUUGAGUCCUCAUAACAAUGUCUCAAUACCAUGAAAUACCAAAGCUGUGAUUCUGAAUAUGCAGGCGGUAAAAAACUUAUUGCCUUGUGGGAAUCUCUUGGGCUCUGUCAAGUGCAAUAGUGACAUUUAACUACAGAUUGGUGCUUUUAUGUCAUUUACUUGAAUAUUUGAUCGAAUCUCUCUGGAGUGUUUUAGAGUGUUGGUGCAAAUCUGACAUAUAGAAAACUACAGGGCUUAAAUGUCAUCUAAUUUGAUUUUAUUUUUUUUAAAGUGAACUUUAUGCAAGUUUCCAUGGUUGACUGUUAUUAUAUGGAUCUUGAAUCUUGCAUAAAGCGUACAUGUAUAUUUGCGAACGAGAGAGAGAGAGAGAGAGAGAGAGAGAAUUUUGAGAUAAUUUGUACAUAUGAUGUUUAUACUGCUGUUGAUAAUAAAUGAUGAAAAU